UCAGGAAAGAGAAAAUCCCAUUUUUGACAUCCAAAAUCAAUAUUUUUUUAAAUUAUUUCCUG
rnacentral:tRNA from 1 species